rnacentral:rRNA from 1 species
AGAACGAACGCUGGCGGCAGGCCUAACACAUGCAAGUCGAACGCUCGUAGCAAUACGGGAGUGGCAGACGGGUGAGUAACACGUGGGAACAUGCCCUUCGGUUCGGAAUAACUCAGGGAAACUUGAGCUAAUACCGGAUACGAUCGAGAGAUGAAAGAUUCAUCGCCGAAGGAUUGGCCCGCGUCCGAUUAGCUAGUUGGUGAGGUAACGGCUCACCAAGGCGACGAUCGGUAGCUGGUCUGAGAGGAUGAUCAGCCACACUGGGACUGAGACACGGCCCAGACUCCUACGGGAGGCAGCAGUGGGGAAUAUUGGACAAUGGGCGCAAGCCUGAUCCAGCCAUGCCGCGUGAGUGAUGAAGGCCCUAGGGUUGUAAAGCUCUUUCGUCAGGGACGAUAAUGACGGUACCUGAAGAAGAAGCCCGGCUAACUCGCGCCAGCAGCCGC